rnacentral:rRNA from 1 species
AACGGUGUUAAUGGCAAGGGUGAACACCUCUUAUCCAUUCCGAACAGAGUCGUUAAGCCCCUUAGCGCCGAUGGUACUGCGGUCAAACGUGGAAGAGUAGGUCGAUGCCGGAU